rnacentral:rRNA from 1 species
AUUGAACGCUGGCGGAAUGCUUUACACAUGCAAGUCGAGCGGCAGCGCGGGGGCAACCCUGGCGGCGAGCGGCGAACGGGUGAGUAAUGUAUCGGAACGUACCCAGUCGUGGGGGAUAACUAUCCGAAAGGAUAGCUAAUACCGCAUACGUCCUGAGGGAGAAAGCGGGGGAUCGCAAGACCUCGCGCGAUUGGAGCGGCCGAUAUCGGAUUAGCUAGUUGGUGAGGUAAAGGCUCACCAAGGCGACGAUCCGUAGCUGGUCUGAGAGGACGACCAGCCACACUGGAACUGAGACACGGUCCAGACUCCUACGGGAGGCAGCAGUGGGGAAUUUUGGACAAUGGGGGCAACCCUGAUCCAGCCAUUCCGCGUGAGUGAAGAAGGCCUUCGGGUUGUAAAGCUCUUUCGGCAGGAACGAAACGGUGGUCCUUAAUACGGACUACUAAUGACGGUACCUGAAGAAGAAGCACCGGCUAACUACGUGCCAGCCGCCGCAGUAA